GGGCGGCACUGUGUCCCGCAUGAUCUUUCAGCCUGGCAGCCUGUUAGAAGGCAGCUGGUGCAGGGAGGCAGCAGAACAGGGGUUGCCAAAGCUAAUAGAGAAAAAUCAUGAGUCUGUGGUGAAGCGGCCCAGUCCACUGAGGUAAUGUGUGGAACCAGGAGGCUGUCAGAACACAGGCCUAAAGUGGAUGAAGAUGCCAAGUGACAAACACCGGAUCCCCCCCGAUACUAGCUAGGCAGAGACGGUUCUACUGGAGCCCAGAGUGCCUAAGAGGAGGCUGAUGGGAGGGGCCAAGCAGAGCCAGGCCCCAGGGGACCGGAGCACACAGGCAGGGGAGCGCAGGGGAGCGGGGACCUUACAAUGGAAGCCCUGGAGGGCUGUGAGCAGGGAGUGACAUGGACAGGUUGGUGUGUUUUGGCCAUGCUGCGGCUGAGAACUCAGGUCAGAAGCUUCAGGACUGGGCACAGUGGGGUUACUACUGCCGCGUCCAGAUGAGAAGCCCAGGCAGGGUGGCUAGCUGAGGUAGACGCGAUGACAGACUCGAGACAGCUGAGCCGGCGUGGGGAGGUAGGAGGAAAAGCAGCUUAGGAUGACCCUGGCCGCUGGCAUAGGGGACAGUUAUAAACAGGGGCAGGAAGAGGAGAGGAGGGUCAGGAUUUGGGGACAGGGGACACAUUCAGUCAUUCACAUGAUGAACUGGAGGGGUCGGUGACCCUUUCUUUUGGAGACUUCUGCUCUUUAGACUCAGUGACUUGGAGCUCAGGAUGGAGGGCUGGGCUUGAGAAACAGAUUUAAGAGUCCUAGUGUCUAUAACAGGCACCGGAGAGCUCAUCCAUGCUUGUUUUCAAUAAAAUAAGGUGCAUUUUGAAGCAUAGUAAAAUUCAUGUAAAAACUGCCAUACUAGCUGGGUGUGGUGGCGCACACCUGUGAUCCCAGCACGUUGGGAGGCUGAGGCAGGAGGGUCACAAGUCUGCGCCCAGCCUGAGCAAUUUAACAACUUAAGAAGGCCCUGUCUCAAAAAGCUUUUAAAAAGGGCUAGAAAUAUAGCUCAUCAAAGGCCCUAGGUUC